UCAGAGUGAACGCUGGCGGUAGGCCUAACACAUGCAAGUCGAACGGCAGCACAGUAAGAGCUUGCUCUUAUGGGUGGCGAGUGGCGGACGGGUGAGGAAUACAUCGGAAUCUACUUUUUCGUGGGGGAUAACGUAGGGAAACUUACGCUAAUACCGCAUACGACCUACGGGUGAAAGCAGGGGAUCUUCGGACCUUGCGCGAUUGAAUGAGCCGAUGUCGGAUUAGCUAGUUGGCGGGGUAAAGGCCCACCAAGGCGACGAUCCGUAGCUGGUCUGAGAGGAUGAUCAGCCACACUGGAACUGAGACACGGUCCAGACUCCUACGGGAGGCAGCAGUGGGGAAUAUUGGACAAUGGGCGCAAGCCUGAUCCAGCCAUACCGCGUGGGUGAAGAAGGCCUUCGGGUUGUAAAGCCCUUUUGUUGGGAAAGAAAUCCAGCUGGUUAAUACCCGGUUGGGAUGACGGUACCCAAAGAAUAAGCACCGGCUAACUUCGUGCCAGCAGCCGCGGUAAUACGAAGGGUGCAAGCGUUACUCGGAAUUACUGGGCGUAAAGCGUGCGUAGGUGGUCGUUUAAGUCUGUUGUGAAAGCCCUGGGCUCAACCUGGGAACUGCAGUGGAAACUGGACGACUAGAGUGUGGUAGAGGGUAGCGGAAUUCCUGGUGUAGCAGUGAAAUGCGUAGAGAUCAGGAGGAACAUCCAUGGCGAAGGCAGCUACCUGGACCAA
rnacentral:rRNA from 1 species